GCCAAGAGCAAAAGAACACAGCAGGAGCUCCCUUUCCCUCUCUCAAACCCUCUCAUUCUCCACCUAAAAUCUCACUCAAGAACAAGGAUUUAAGGUUUGGAGGUUUUCCAAUUCAAAUUCGUCACCUCCCUUUUCUCUGAAUUUUCAACAGCUGAGUCAUCCUCUCCGCCGAGCUUUUCCUACGAUUUCUUCUUCACCAAAGGUCAGAAACUCAGGCAAGGGACUUCGGUGAAUGAAGGACUGAAGGAUGACGCGAGCGUGAUCGAGGGUGAUCCGAAAGGUGUUUCCCUUGCUUGUGAAUGUGAUUAACAAGGCAAGCAUCUAAGAAUUUUUAUCC